rnacentral:rRNA from 1 species
UGAACGCUGGCGGCGUGCCUAAUACAUGCAAGUCGAGCGAACAGACGAGGAGCUUGCUCCUCUGACGUUAGCGGCGGACGGGUGAGUAACACGUGGAUAACCUACCUAUAAGACUGGGAUAACUUCGGGAAACCGGAGCUAAUACCGGAUAAUAUAUUGAACCGCAUGGUUCAAUAGUGAAAGACGGUUUUGCUGUCACUUAUAGAUGGAUCCGCGCCGCAUUAGCUAGUUGGUAAGGUAACGGCUUACCAAGGCAACGAUGCGUAGCCGACCUGAGAGGGUGAUCGGCCACACUGGAACUGAGACACGGUCCAGACUCCUAUGGGAGGCAGCAGUAGGGAAUCUUCCGCAAUGGGCGAAAGCCUGACGGAGCAACGCCGCGUGAGUGAUGAAGGUCUUCGGAUCGUAAAACUCUGUUAUUAGGGAAGAACAAAUGUGUAAGUAACUAUGCACGUCUUGACGGUACCUAAUCAGAAAGCCACGGCUAACUACGUG